rnacentral:lncRNA from 1 species
AUUGCAAAUUUCAUCCCAGACAGCCCUGGUUAUUUACGGCCGGUGCUGAUAAACUUAUUAAAGUUUACUGCCAUCAAUAAAAAUAUGGAUAUUUUGCUAAACACAUGCUUGUGAUAGGUGGAUCUCAUCUAUAAAAGGGAAGGGCACCUGGUUAAAUAGAGAGCAUUGCUUGCCCCAAAUGGAAGGGCACCUGGUGUGCGAGUUUCAGGCCCUCUGUUUUCUAGUUUAUUGGUGGAGAAUCAAUCAAUAUAAUGCAGUGGGUAAAUUUUAUUCCACACUCCACAUCUAUCUUAUUCAAUCUUCCGAAGAAAUAUUAUUCCAGGAAUUUAUAUUCGUAA